CAGCCGCCGCGGUAAAACGAAGGGGGCUAGCGUUGUUCGGAUUUACUGGGCGUAAAGCGCACGUAGGCGGAUCGAUCAGUCAGGGGUGAAAUCCCAGAGCUCAACUCUGGAACUGCCUUUGAUACUGUCGAUCUGGAGUAUGGAAGAGGUGAGUGGAAUUCCGAGUGUAGAGGUGAAAUUCGUAGAUAUUCGGAGGAACACCAGUGGCGAAGGCGGCUCACUGGUCCAUUACUGACGCUGAGGUGCGAAAGCGUGGGGAGCAAACAGGAUUAGAUACCCCUGUAGUCCCUGUCUCUUAUAC
rnacentral:rRNA from 1 species